GGUGCACAAAAUUCCUGGAGGAAGCGCAGCCAGAACAUCUGGCCUGAACUGGCCGAAAGGAUAUUCCAUACCUCAAAACACCAAGCUCAGUACAUGAACUGGGCUCUACACAGCAGCAGAAAACGCCUCCCGACAGCCUUUCAACCACCCCACAGUUCUGUAAAGCCAUGGGAGCUGGUCCUGCCGCCAGCCUGAGGAUGCCUGUGCCCAUGAGGCAGCGUAGUCAGCAGCCUCCAGAGAUCACCAGCUGGAAACCAGGCAUGUUACAGACUGGAGACAUUCCUGGGAGAAGGCAGAUCAAUGUGUGCAGCACCUGCUGGCAAUUUGCCUGGCUUCGGCCAAAGGGAAAAUGUCACCCACAGAGAAGUCCAGAUUCAUGCAGGCUUACAAGGAUCUCCUAAGAGUCACUAGAUAAAAUGUAGGAAAU